CAACAACAGACUCGGUGAAAUUGUAAUUCCGGUGAAGAUGCCGGAUACCUGCGACAGGACGGAAAGACCCCAUGGAGCUUUACUGUAGCUUGACAUUGGGUCUUGGUACUACAUGUACAGGAUAGGUGGGAGGCUUUGAAACCAGGACGCCAGUUUUGGCGGAGCCAUCCUUGGGAUACCACCCUUGUAGUACUGGGACUCUAACCAUAGGCCAUGAAUCUGGUCUUGGGACACUGUCAGGUGGGCAGUUUGACUGGGGCGGUCGCCUCCCAAAAGGUAACGGAGGCGCUCAAAGGUUCUCUCAGUACGGUCGGAAAUCGUACGUAGAGUGUAAAGGCAAAAGAGAGCUUGAUUGCAAGACAUACAGGUCGAGCAAGGGUC
rnacentral:rRNA from 1 species